rnacentral:lncRNA from 13 species
GGUGUCUUGUGCAGCGCGGUGUCAGCAGGAGUCAGAUGUCAGCUGAUGUCAGCUGAUGGCAGAUUUGGUUGUCAGCCGUAGCGCUGUCAUCCUCCCGCCACAUGACUAGCAGAGAAGUGAGUCUGAGAAGCAUAAAAAAGUAAACAGGAACAGAGGCAGGCCCGGGAGGUGGAGACACUGCUGCCCGGGCUUUCACAGCCUUUCAUCUGCAUCUGUCCUUUUCCAAGAUUUGGUAACAUUCCUAUCGGAGAGAUUCACUGCCCUGAGCCAGCUCAGAAACUGUGGGGGACAUGGAUGAAUCUGGAGAACAUCAUCCUCAGCAAACUGACACAAGAACAGAAAAUGAAACACCGCAUAUUCUCACUCAUAGGUGGGUGAUGAAAAAUGAGAACACAUGGACACAGAAAGGGGAGUACUAAACACUGGGGUCUAUUGGGGGGAAAAGGGGAGGGCCAGUGGGAGGGGGAGGUGGGGAGGGAUAGCCUGGGGAGAAAUGCCAAAUGUGGGUGAAGGGGAGAAGAAAAGCAAAGCACACUGCCAUGUGUGUACCUACGCAACUGUCUUGCAUGCUCUGCUCAUGUACCCCAAAACCUAUAAUCCAAUAAAAAAUUAAAAAAAAAAAUAAAAUAAAAAUAAAAAUAAAUUAACCAGACCUGCUGGCUCACACUUGCGGUCCCAGCUACUCAGGAGGCUGAGGUGGGACGAUUUCUUGAGCCUGGGAAGUCAAGCCUGCAGUGACCCAUGACCACACCAUUGUGCUCCAGCCUGGGUCACAGAGACAGACCCCAUCUCAAAAAAUGGGAAAAAAAGCACAUAAAAGUCAGCUGGAUUUCCACCAAUAAGGAGAAUAUGCUCAUACAAGUGAUGAAUGUCCUUCUCCUAGGGGCAGGACGGGUGGAUCACGAGGUCAAGAGAUCGAGACCAUCCUGGUCAACAAGGAACGUGGGGUUUCAAGCUGCUGUCUCUGGGCACUGCCCAGCUCCGGCGAACACACUCUCUUAGGGCAAGGUCCACACCCACACAGCCCGCCCAGGAAUUCCGCCUCCUCCAGUGUCUGCCAGGACGGACUGCCUCUUCUUUGGUCGGACGCCCACAUGGUGCUGACGACAAACAGUGCCUGAUGUAAGAGCUAUUUCCUGGAGAUAAAAUAUGUCCUAAUGCUGGAGAUAAAGUUCUAAUGCACAUGUUAGGCAGAACGGCACUCGGAAUGAUUCUAAACUGUAGAACCUUCCAGCAGACACCCUCGAAUCACGCCAUCUAACUAAACUUCGAGUCUGCCCCUUGGGUUCGUUCAGUAGGUCCUCUGUCAUGAUCAGUCUGAGACCACUGACUGCUGGAUUUCCCCCUGGCCUUUCUCUCUCUGACUCUCCCUGUUUAAGCUGCUAGACGAGCUGCUUCCUUACCUUGGAGGAGGCUGUGGAAGAGAGAAAGAAGAACUUGUCUGCAACGAACUUCACUUUGUUUGAUUUGUGUUUUCUCAAAGCCUGCGCAUGUUGGGAAUUGCACCUGGUGGCUGGAAGAGGGUGGGCAGAGCUGUCAGGACAGUGCCCUGGGUGGCUGGGAAGGUGAUGGGCAGUGUGAGUCCUGGGGUGGAAGGAUGGUUACAUGCUCAACUGUGGGAAACCCAGAUGGGUGGCAAGGCCUGAAACCAAGGCUGGCAGAGAUCAGACACCUUCUUCCUGAGGCCCUGAAGGGAGGCACCCCUCCUAAUGCUGAAGAUGGCAGUUCACAGGAAUUUAGUCGGGUGAGGGGAGUUAUGGGUCAGAAUGACACUGAUGUAAGGACGCAGAGAUCAGUUUAUUCCCUGCAUACCUGAGUAUGUGGGCGGUAAGUCCUGGACAACCACUCAACUUCCCGAGAGCUGUUUCAGAACAAAUCUGAUGUCCUCUUGUACACUUAUGCUCAUGAAGCAGAGUUAGGGAAAAAAGAGAGAUUUUGGAAGUGAGUCCUCUUUAGCCUCUCAGCAUGCUUCCCAAGGGGGCAGAGCCACACUCUUUUCUAA